GAUGAACGCUAGCUACAGGCUUAACACAUGCAAGUCGAGGGGCAGCAUGAACUUAGCUUGCUAAGUUUGAUGGCGACCGGCGCACGGGUGAGUAACACGUAUCCAACCUGCCGAUGACUCGGGGAUAGCCUUUCGAAAGAAAGAUUAAUACCCGAUGGCAUAGUUCUUCCGCAUGGUAGAACUAUUAAAGAACUUCGGUCAUCGAUGGGGAUGCGUUCCAUUAGGUUGUUGGCGGGGUAACGGCCCACCAAGCCUUCGAUGGAUAGGGGUUCUGAGAGGAAGGUCCCCCACAUUGGAACUGAGACACGGUCCAAACUCCUACGGGAGGCAGCAGUGAGGAAUAUUGGUCAAUGGACGAGAGUCUGAACCAGCCAAGUAGCGUGAAGGAUGACUGCCCUAUGGGUUGUAAACUUCUUUUAUACGGGAAUAAAGUCGGGUAUGGAUACCCGUUUGCAUGUACUUUAUGAAUAAGGAUCGGCUAACUCCGUGCCAGCAGCCGCGGU
rnacentral:rRNA from 1 species